UUGGAAGCUAACGAGAGAGUAGGGGAAGCCGUUCGAAAUGCACUGCUCCUGUCGAGUCCUGAGUCCUGAUCUCGAUCCUCUGAUCCAUGAUCAUUCGAUUGUCAUCUCUUUCUCUCCUUAGCUGCAAAAUUGGAAGGAAAAAGAAUGUGUUCUUUGGAUCAGUCAAUGUCCUGAAUUGCACUACCAAAGACAAAGGCAGAGCUUACACUACUGCGUUGGAUCUCAUUUCUUUGCAAUUGCGAAAAGCCAAAGAAUCCCAUUUUCAAUCAUUGUUUAUUUGAGCUCAUAGACAAAAAAUGGCUUGAUGAUUCAAAUGAAGAUGUUAUUGCAAAAUCACUAAAUGCAGGUUUGGAUUUGGAAUGUGGAUGGUACUUCCAAGACUAUGGUGGGAAUGCAACUAUGAUUGGGAGAAUCAAAGAAGGAGACAUUGAUAGGGCUUUGAAGAACAACUAUGUUGUUCUCAUGAGACUUGGAUUCUUUGAUGGCAUCCCUUCACUUGAAGUGUUUGAUAUAUAGGUGGAAAGUUGCCUCUUACAUAGUACACUAAUGACUACACAGACAAGUUGCCCAUGAAUUCCAUAUCCCUAAGGCCACUCCCUAAAUUUGGCUACCUGGAAGGACUUGUAAGUUCUUCAAUGGUGAAACCCUUUAUCCUUUUGGUUAUGGCCUCAGCUACACUUGGUUCAUAUACUCAAUGGUAUCUUCUGCUCAUGCACUUCAACUGAAAUUGGGAAGAGUCCAACAUUGCCGUGAUCUCACUUAUUAGGAUGGUACUGCUAGGUCUCCUUACCCAACAUUUGUGGUAGAUGACAUAACUUGUGGCAAAGAGUUGGACUUUGAGGUUGAUAUUCAAGCUCAAAAUGUGGGAAAUGUGGAUGGAACUGAUGUUGUCAUUGUCUACUCAAAGCCUACGGUACGCAUCAAGGAAACUCAUAUCAAACAGGUCAUUGGGUUCCAAAGGGUGUUCUUGAAAGCAGGGGAGAGCAAGACCUUGAAGUUUGCAUUCAAUGCUUGCAAGAGCUUGAUGGUGUUGAACAAGACAGCUUAUAAGGUUUUACCAUCAAGGGAGAACAUGAUUGUGGUUGGAGAUGAAGAGCUCUUUCUACCCGUUCAAAUCAAUAUUGCCUCUUGCCAAAACUAGAUGGUUACUUAGAUCAUUUAGGUUAGCUUAAGUUCUUAUUAUCUUAUUUUCUUUUUCUCCAACUCCAAUAGUAGUUAGGAGUUUUUAUAUGUUCUUGAGUUCCUUUGUUUAGUCCUUUGUUACUACAAUACAA